GUGCACUCACUUAUUCUGCAGCACAUAUACUAAAAUUAGAACAAUGCAGAGAAGAUUAACAUGGCCCUUGAGCAAUGAGGAUAUGAAAAUCUGUGAGUCACUCUAGAUUUUA
rnacentral:snRNA from 1 species